rnacentral:lncRNA from 1 species
GUUUUCUAGUAUAUGUAUUUCAAAUAUUGUGUCCCUGACUACAGUUUGUAAAUUUUGUAUACAGAAAAUUUUGUCAUAUAGGUUAUUAGAAAUAUAUCUAGUCAUAGUAAAUGUCUCCUUGAUUUGGGGUUUUGCUCAGGCAUGUCUUCCUCACUGUGAGAAUAUUUUGAAGUCUUUGAAGUCAUUCAUUUUCUUCUGAUUAAUAUCUUUUUUUUUUUUUUUUUUUUUAGACAGAGUCUGUCACCAGGCUGGAGUGCAGUGGUGUGAUCUCGGUUCACUGUAACCUCUGCCUCCCAGGUUUCAAGCAAUUCUCCUGCCUCAGCCUCCCAAGUAGCUAGGACUACAGGCAUGCACCACCAUGCCCAGCUAAUUUUUGUAUUUUUAAUAGAAACAAGGUUUCACCAUGUUGGCCAGGGUGGUCUCAAUCUCCUGACUUCGUGAUCCACCCACCUUGGCCUCCCAAAGUGCUGAGAUUAUAGGCGUGAGCCACUGUACUCAGCCAUAUCUUUUUAAUUCGCGUAUUAAAUUCCAUUUGGAAUUCAUAUUCAUGUUUGAAAUUAGGAAGAGGUUUAACUAUAUACACACACAAAACACACAUUGACAUAUAUUUACAAAUAAACAAUUGUAUAAAUUCCUUUAUUGAAAAACUCGUAUUUUCCAAGUUGGUUGAGUCACCAUUAUCAUAUAUUAAAUGAUCAUACAUGUAUGGUUCUGCUUAUAUUUAUUUCUCUACACUAGGUAGAAUAUUUAAUAAUGUUGGAACAGAUACCACUGUCUUGUUCUGGCCUUAUUAAAAAUGUCUUUAUACUCGAGAAGCAAUAUGAUGUUUGAUAUUGAUCUUAGAUAAUUAUGUUUCAUAAUAUUCAGAAAUUCAUUUAGUCCAAUUGUAUCUUGGUAAUUUUAUAAAAAAUGUGUGCUGUAUAUUAUCAAUAUUUUUGUGUCUACUAUAUAUUCAUAAUUUCUCCCCAUUAUUUGCUAACUUGAUGAUAAAUGUUUGUUUUCUCAUACUUAUCCAUCCUUGAAUUGCUAAAAUUGAAUAUGUUUGGUCACAUUUUUGCAUUUCUAAUGGGGCAUGGAUACAUCUGUUACAAAUUUAGAUGCUAUAUUUAACUAUGAAAAAAUGUUUUUUAAUAAAGGACCCAUAAAACAAACAUGCUUCUCAAAUGAUUAGUGAAAUAUGUAUGCAUUUACAAUAUAAAUAAAAUAGUUG